GGAUCGCAUCGGGUUUUGAGUCGCGAUGGCUCGUGAUGCGUCAUAUGUAAUUUAUCUGACGGAAGAAGUUGAAAUUUACGGCGGAUAAUGUUAUGGAAACACCAUAUUCCGAACGAAAUUUUCCGUUUCGAGAAGAAUGAAGAAAAAUAAUUAUGAACCAUCCCCGAGUAUUCCUGCCUCGAUAAACAUUCCGAAUAAAGAAAAAAAUUCAAGAUAAACUGAACUAGAAGCCACGCGUAAUUUGUUCGCGUCACAUGAAUAAGAGCCAACACGACGGCCUGGACCAAUCUAGAUUAACACAGCUGAUUAGCAUGGGAUGGCUCUCGCACCUGUUUUUAGAAGCCGCGCAUAGUUGUAAUUCGGUCGGCCCGUCAUCUAUCAUAAUUUUCCAGUCGGCCUCUGCUCAUCCUCCCCUUUAUAUCUUCCAUACGCUUCGUAUGCAAAUAUCGUACCUGCCGGCCUACAUCGACUGGAAAAAAAAGACGAGAAAACCCGACUACCGUGGACGAUCGGCCGGGCAUAUUCGAGGAAAAAAUUACCGGUAAUCCGUGAUGUAAGUUUUCGGAUGCCAGCAGUGUGUUACGGGAUCAGUUAUUAUACUGCGGGUAAGGGAAGAUAUGCUUCAUGGAGACGGUAUGCAAUAAUUUAUCAAGAUGUGAUUAAUGUGUUAAGCAGCACUUUUUAUUCAUAAAAAUAUGUUUUCAUAACCUAUAGAUGAAAGGAAAUUUUAAUAUUUACAGGAGAAAAGUACAAUGAUUGCAGCUUGGUUAAGCGUGCGAUAAAAUGAUCGACGAUAUGUACUUAACUAUAAUUAACAUCUUCUCUAUAACAUAUAGAAUCAUUUGUUUAAAUAAAAACAAAACAAAUUCUUUAGAUUUAUAUGAUUUAAAAGCUGUGACUUUCUAAUGAUUACAAGAUAGUGAUGCGAUUUUGUACAUGAGCAAAAAAAUAAUAUAUUUUUCUCGUAACGCAUACAAGUACGUAGUUGAUAUGGUGAUUUGAAAAUUCGAGGUUCUCUUUGUAAUAUCGUUAAAAAGUAGAUUCUAUUGUUUACCAUUCAAACAGUAUAACCUGUUCAAUAAAUUCUACU